rnacentral:rRNA from 1 species
ACGAGGUCUUAACACAUGCAAGUCGAGGGGCAGCAUGAAGUUUGCUUGCAAACUUUGAUGGCGACCGGCGCACGGGUGAGUAACGCGUAUCCAACCUUCCCCUUACUAGGGAAUAGCCCGGCGAAAGUCGGAUUAAUGCCCUAUGUUCUCCUUUGCGGGCAUCUAACGAGGAGCAAAGAUUCAUCGGUAAGGGAUGGGGAUGCGUCUGAUUAGCCAGUUGGCGGGGUAACGGCCCACCAAGGCGACGAUCGGUAGGGGUUCUGAGAGGAAGGUCCCCCACACUGGAACUGAGACACGGUCCAGACUCC